GUCCCUGUAGCGCGCGCGUUGGACUUCUAAUCCAAAGGUCGUGGGCUCGAAUCCCACCUGGGAUG